rnacentral:rRNA from 1 species
CGCCCUUAGAGUUUGAUCCUGGCUCAGAUUGAACGCUGGCGGCAGGCCUAACACAUGCAAGUCGAGCGGUAAGGGAGCUUGCUCCUGACGAGCGGCGGACGGGUGAGUAAUGUCUGGGAAACUGCCUGAUGGAGGGGGAUAACUACUGGAAACGGUAGCUAAUACCGCAUAACGUCUACGGACCAAAGUGGUUCGUCAUGCCAUCAGAUGUGCCCAGAUGGGAUUAGCUAGUAGGUGGGGUAAUGGCUCACCUAGGCGACGAUCCCUAGCUGGUCUGAGAGGAUGACCAGCCACACUGGAACUGAGACACGGUCCAGACUCCUACGGGAGGCAGCAGUGGGGAAUAUUGCACAAUGGGCGCAAGCCUGAUGCAGCCAUGCCGCGUGUGUGAAGAAGGCCUUCGGGUUGUAAAGCACUUUCAGCGAGGAGGAAGGGUAGUGUUAAUACAUUGCAUUGACGUUACUCGCAGAAGAAGCACCGGCUAACUCCGUGCCAGCAGCCGCGGUAAUACGGAGGGUGCAAGCGUUAAUCGGAAUUACUGGGCGUAAAGCGCACGCAGGCGGUUUGUUAAGUCAGAUGUGAAAUCCCCGCGCUUAACGUGGGAACUGCAUUUGAAACUGGCAAGCUAGAGUCUUGUAGAGGGGGGUAGAAUUCCAGGUGUAGCGGUGAAAUGCGUAGAGAUCUGGAGGAAUACCGGUGGCGAAGGCGGCCCCCUGGACAAGACUGACGCU